rnacentral:misc_RNA from 1 species
AACGAGGCCGACCUGCGGCUGAGUUACCUGCGGAGGGAUCAUUACACAACAAAAUAUGAAGGUCUGGCUUCGCGGCCGGCUGAAGUAUUUUUUUUCACCCAUGUCUUUUGCGCACUUGUUGUUUCCUGGGCGGGUUCGCCCGCCACCAGGACCAAACCAUAAACCUUUUUUUUAUGUAGUUGCAAUCAGCGUCAGUAAAAACAAUGUAAUUAUUACAACUUUUAACAACGGAUCUCAGAU